rnacentral:rRNA from 1 species
UACGGAGGGUGCAAGCGUUGUCCGGAAUCACUGGGCGUAAAGGGCGCGUAGGCGGUUCCUUAAGCGGGUGGUGAAAGCUCAGGGCUCAACUCUGAGUCGGCCAUGCGAACUGGGGGACUCGAGCACUGUAGAGGCAGGUGGAAUUCCGGGUGUAGCGGUGGAAUGCGUAGAGAUCCGGAAGAACACCGGUGGCGAAGGCGGCCUGCUGGACAGUAGCUGACGCUGAGGCGCGACAGCGUGGGGAGCAAACAGG